CUUACAACAUCAUUCUUGUUGUUACGCCUAAUCAUACAAUAAAUAUGUGAUUGUGAUAAGAGAAUAAUAAAUUAUAUUUUAAUUUUUUUUUUUAUGUAUAACAUCAAUUUUUUUAUUUUAUAUAAUACGAAUAUUGAAUUUAUGAUGGCUAAUAUAUUUUUAAGAUAUUUAUUCAAUAAAUUUAGAAAAACCAGAGCAAGUUGAACCAACAAAAUAGUACCCUAUUGGCUGUUUCCACGUAUCAUGUAUACCUCUCAUCAUCAAGACCAUUACAGAUUUUGCAACAUCAGUGGUUUUAUGUGUCUCUACAUCAUGGAAUCCAAUAACUUCAUCUUUGGCAUAAUUAUAGAGAUGUAUAUGAUGUGAUAUAAACUACCUGAACAAGGUGUUGAACAACUUGAUGUAGGCCUUGAUGAAAUAUCUGAUGUUGAAUCAUUCUUUGAACACUCAGGUUUUCAUCUUUAGGAAAACGAUGAAAUGUUACUUUGUGUUGACCUUCCUUAUUUUUGCAAAUAACACAAGUGUUCGGCAUUUUGUAAAAUUACAAAAAACAAGAUAAAAAAUAAUUGCAAAAAAACACGUGUAAAUAA